rnacentral:rRNA from 1 species
GACGAACGCUGGCGGCGUGCCUAAUACAUGCAAGUUGAGCGCUGAAGGUUGGUACUUGUACCAACUGGAUGAGCAGCGAACGGGUGAGUAACGCGUGGGGAAUCUGCCUUUGAGCGGGGGACAACAUUUGGAAACGAAUGCUAAUACCGCAUAAAAACUUUAAACACAAGUUUUAAGUUUGAAAGAUGCAAUUGCAUCACUCAAAGAUGAUCCCGCGUUGUAUUAGCUAGUUGGUGAGGUAAAGGCUCACCAAGGCGAUGAUACAUAGCCGACCUGAGAGGGUGAUCGGCCACAUUGGGACUGAGACACGGCCCAAACUCCUACGGGAGGCAGCAGUAGGGAAUCUUCGGCAAUGGACGAAAGUCUGACCGAGCAAACGCCGCGUGAGUGAAAGAAAGGUUUUCG